rnacentral:rRNA from 1 species
GACGUAGGGCGCGAGCGUUGUCCGGAUUUAUUGGGCGUAAAGAGCUCGUAGGCGGCUUGUCGCGUCGUCCGUGAAAACUUGGGGCUCAACCCCAAGCUUGCGGUCGAUACGGGCAGGCUAGAGUUCGGUAGGGGAGACUGGAAUUCCUGGUGUAGCGGUGAAAUGCGCAGAUAUCAGGAGGAACACCGGUGGCGAAGGCGGGUCUCUGGGCCGAUACUGACGCUGAGGAACGAAAGCGUGGGGAGCAAACGGG